CUUUGACAGCGUAAGCUGACAGUAGCCGAGACAGGGAGAAUAUAAUG
rnacentral:ncRNA from 1 species